UUUUAUGGAGAGUUUGAUCCUGGCUCAGGAUGAACGCUGGCGGCGUGCCUAAUACAUGCAAGUCGAGCGAACGGACGAGAAGCUUGCUUCUCUGAUGUUAGCGGCGGACGGGUGAGUAACACGUGGAUAACCUACCUAUAAGACUGGGAUAACUUCGGGAAACCGGAGCUAAUACCGGAUAAUAUUUUGAACCGCAUGGUUCAAAAGUAAAAGACGGUCUUGCUGUCACUUAUAGAUGGAUCCGCGCUGCAUUAGCUAGUUGGUAAGGUAACGGCUUACCAAGGCAACGAUGCAUAGCCGACCUGAGAGGGUGAUCGGCCACACUGGAACUGAGACACGGUCCAGACUCCUACGGGAGGCAGCAGUAGGGAAUCUUCCGCAAUGGGCGAAAGCCUGACGGAGCAACGCCGCGUGAGUGAUGAAGGUCUUCGGAUCGUAAAACUCUGUUAUUAGGGAAGAACAUAUGUGUAAGUAACUGUGCACAUCUUGACGGUACCUAAUCAGAAAGCCACGGCUAACUACGUGCCAGCAGCCGCGGUAAUACGUAGGUGGCAAGCGUUAUCCGGAAUUAUUGGGCGUAAAGCGCGCGUAGGCGGUUUUUUAAGUCUGAUGUGAAAGCCCACGGCUCAACCGUGGAGGGUCAUUGGAAACUGGAAAACUUGAGUGCAGAAGAGGAAAGUGGAAUUCCAUGUGUAGCGGUGAAAUGCGCAGAGAUAUGGAGGAACACCAGUGGCGAAGGCGACUUUCUGGUCUGUAACUGACGCUGAUGUGCGAAAGCGUGGGGAUCAAACAGGAUUAGAUACCCUGGUAGUCCACGCCGUAAACAAUGAGUGCUAAGUGUUAGGGGGUUUCCGCCCCUUAGUGCUGCAGCUAACGCAUUAAGCACUCCGCCUGGGGAGUACGACCGCAAGGUUGAAACUCAAAGGAAUUGACGGGGACCCGCACAAGCGGUGGAGCAUGUGGUUUAAUUCGAAGCAACGCGAAGAACCUUACCAAAUCUUGACAUCCUUUGACAACUCUAGAGAUAGAGCCUUCCCCUUCGGGGGACAAAGUGACAGGUGGUGCAUGGUUGUCGUCAGCUCGUGUCGUGAGAUGUUGGGUUAAGUCCCGCAACGAGCGCAACCCUUAAGCUUAGUUGCCAUCAUUAAGUUGGGCACUCUAAGUUGACUGCCGGUGACAAACCGGAGGAAGGUGGGGAUGACGUCAAAUCAUCAUGCCCCUUAUGAUUUGGGCUACACACGUGCUACAAUGGACAAUACAAAGGGCAGCGAAACCGCGAGGUCAAGCAAAUCCCAUAAAGUUGUUCUCAGUUCGGAUUGUAGUCUGCAACUCGACUACAUGAAGCUGGAAUCGCUAGUAAUCGUAGAUCAGCAUGCUACGGUGAAUACGUUCCCGGGUCUUGUACACACCGCCCGUCACACCACGAGAGUUUGUAACACCCGAAGCCGGUGGAGUAACCUUUUAGGAGCUAGCCGUCGAAGGUGGGACAAAUGAUUGGGGUGAAGUCGUAACAAGGUAGCCGUAUCGGAAGGUGCGGCUGGAUCACCUCCUUUCU
rnacentral:rRNA from 1 species